rnacentral:rRNA from 1 species
GUGUCAGCAGCCGCGGUAAUACGUAGGUGGCAAGCGUUGUCCGGAAUUAUUGGGCGUAAAGCGCGCGCAGGUGGUUCCUUAAGUCUGAUGUGAAAGCCCACGGCUCAACCGUGGAGGGUCAUUGGAAACUGGGGAACUUGAGUGCAGAAGAGGAAAGUGGAAUUCCAAGUGUAGCGGUGAAAUGCGUAGAGAUUUGGAGGAACACCAGUGGCGAAGGCGACUUUCUGGUCUGUAACUGACACUGAGGCGCGAAAGCGUGGGGAGCAAACAGGAUUAGAAACCCCCGUAGUCC